GUGAAUCAUCGAAUUUUUGAACGCAAAUUGCACUCUCCGGUUUUCCGGGAGAGUAUGCCUGUUUGAGGGUCAGCCUAAAAAAAUCGACAUUGUUGCUGUUAUUUAAUGGUGACUUUCGUCGGAGAUUGGGUUAUCUUAAACCUUUUUUUUUUUUGGUUUUAGUGUCUUUAAAUUUUUCUUUCACAUUUCAUGAAAGUUUUUAAGUUUUUUAUUUUUUUUAAGUU
rnacentral:misc_RNA from 1 species